AUUGAACGCUGGCGGCAGGCUUAACACAUGCAAGUCGAGCGGGGAAGGGUAGCUUGCUACCUAACCUAGCGGCGGACGGGUGAGUAAUGCUUAGGAAUCUGCCUAUUAGUGGGGGACAACAUUCCGAAAGGAAUGCUAAUACCGCAUACGCCCUACGGGGGAAAGCAGGGGAUCUUCGGACCUUGCGCUAAUAGAUAAGCCUAAGUCAGAUUAGCUAGUUGGUGGGGUAAAGGCCUACCAAGGCGACGAUCUGUAGCGGGUCUGAGAGGAUGAUCCGCCACACUGGGACUGGGACACGGCCCAGACUCCUACGGGAGGCAGCAGUGGGGAAUAUUGGACAAUGGGCGCAAGCCUGAUCCAGCCAUGCCGCGUGUGUGAAGAAGGCCUUUUGGUUGUAAAGCACUUUAAGCGAGGAGGAGGCUACUUGGAUUAAUACUCUAGGAUAGUGGACGUUACUCGCAGAAUAAGCACCGGCUAACUCUGUGCCAGCCGCCGCAGUAAUAC
rnacentral:rRNA from 1 species